rnacentral:rRNA from 1 species
UACGGAGGGAGCUAGCGUUAUUCGGAAUUACUGGGCGUAAAGCGCACGUAGGCGGCUUUGUAAGUUAGAGGUGAAAGCCUGGAGCUCAACUCCAGAAUUGCCUUUAAGACUGCAUCGCUUGAAUCCAGGAGAGGUGAGUGGAAUUCCGAGUGUAGAGGUGAAAUUCGUAGAUAUUCGGAAGAACACCAGUGGCGAAGGCGGCUCACUGGACCGGAACUGACGCUGAGGCGCGAAAGCGUGGGGAGCAAACGGG